rnacentral:misc_RNA from 1 species
UCUCCGUAGGUGAACCUGCGGAGGGAUCACUACAGGCUUGCAAAAGCUCUGGAACCACUGUGUAACUACCUGAAUCUGCUUCGGCGGGCGGCCCCAGGGCGGGGACCUUGCCGCAAGGCGCCCGCCGUAGACCCCUAAACCCUAUGGUCUUGAGAAAUUCUGAGUAUCAUAUUAAACAAAAAAACAACUUUCAACAACGGAUCUCUUGGCUCUG